rnacentral:snRNA from 1 species
ACCCUUACCUGGCAGGGGAGAUACCAUGAUCACCCAGGGUGAGGCUCAUCUAUUGCACUGCUGGGAUGCUGACCCCUGCGAUUUCCCCAAAUGUGGGAAAUUUGACUGCAUAAUUUGUGGUAGUGGGGGACUGCAUUCGUGCUUUCCCCUG